UACGAGGGGUGCCUAGCGUUGUUCGGAAUCACUGGGCGUAAAGCGUAUGUAGGCGGACCUCUAAGUCAGGAUGUGAAAUCCCACGGCUCAACCGUGGAAUUGCAUUUGAAACUGGAGGUCUGAGUGUGGGAGAGAUUGGUAGAAUACCUGGUGUAGUGGUGAAAUACGUAGAUAUCAGGUGGAAUACCGGUGGCGAAGGCGGCAUGCCCAACUAGUCGA
rnacentral:rRNA from 1 species